rnacentral:rRNA from 1 species
AGAGUUUGAUCAUGGCUCAGAAUCAACGCUGGCGGCGUGCCUAAUACAUGCAAGUCGAACGCGAAAGUCCCGCAAGGGAUCAGUAGAGUGGCAAACGGGUGAGUAACACGUGGGUGACCUGCCUUCGAGUGGGGGAUAACGUCCCGAAAGGGACGCUAAUACCGCAUGACAUCCCGCCUUUGAAGAGGUGGAGAUCAAAGCUGGGGAUCGCAAGACCUAGCGCUUGAAGAGGGGCCCGCGCCCGAUUAGCUCGUUGGUGGGGUAACGGCUCACCAAGGCAACGAUCGGUAGCCGGCCUGAGAGGGCGGACGGCCACACUGGGACUGAGACACGGCCCAGACUCCUACGGGAGGCAGCAGUAGGGAAUUGUUCGCAAUGGGCGCAAGCCUGACGACGCAACGCCGCGUGGAGGAUGAAGAUCUUCGGGUCGUAAACUCCUUUCGAUUGGGACGAAUUCCUCGGGGGUGAACAAUCUCCGGGGUUGACGGUACCGAGAGAAGAAGCCCCGGCUAACUCCGUGCCAGCAGCCGCGGUAAUACGGGGGGGGCAAGCGUUGUUCGGAAUUACUGGGCGUAAAGGGCUCGUAGGCUGCCAACUAAGUCAGACGUGAAAUCCCUCGGCUUAACCGGGGAACUGCGUCUGAUACUGGAUGGCUUGAGUUCGGGAGAGGGAUGCGGAAUUCCAGGUGUAGCGGUGAAAUGCGUAGAUAUCUGGAGGAACACCGGUGGCGAAGGCGGCAUCCUGGACCGACACUGACGCUGAGGAGCGAAAGCCAGGGGAGCAAACGGGAUUAGAUACCCCGGUAGUCC